rnacentral:rRNA from 1 species
AUGGAACUGCAAUGCCAACCGAAAAGAGUUGCGUCAAAAUAUAAAACGUUUUUCCAGUUCAAAUUGAGGGAGGUAGUACAAAACAAUGUUUACGGGUGCUUGCGCCGUUGGAUCGUGUUUGUUUGUUUAGGGUCUGCUCUCCAUGGGACUUUUUUUUUUUGUUGUUGUUGCGUGGAGCCGUCGAGCGUAUCCAACCAGUCCAAUCCAAACAAACAAAAGAACAAACUUAGCACAGAUAUUUUCGGUCGCAAACAUGAUGAUGAAGGUGGUUUAAAAAAAAAACAUGAUGAUGGAGGAGCAUCCAUCCAAACGGCAGCAGCAGAAAGCGCCACCCGCCGCCUCGUGUCGCCCCGCGCCUGA